rnacentral:pre_miRNA from 1 species
CAACCUCCGUAGGCUGGCCGGCCCGGAGGCCGGGCUGGGCGAGUAUCUCUUCCGCCGGCUCACCCACAAGCACAACUAGCAGC